UACGGAGGGAGCUAGCGUUGUUCGGAAUUACUGGGCGUAAAGCGCACGUAGGCGGCUAUUCAAGUCGGGGGGUGAAAGCCCGGGGCUCAACCCCGGAACUGCCCUCGAAACUAGAUAGCUAGAAUCUUGGAGAGGCGAGUGGAAUUCCGAGUGUAGAGGUGAAAUUCGUAGAUAUUCGGAAGAACACCAGUGGCGAAGGCGACUCGCUGGACAAGUAUUGACGCUGAGGUGCGAAGGCGUGGGGAGCAAACAGG
rnacentral:rRNA from 1 species